rnacentral:lncRNA from 1 species
AUCUAAAUGAAGACUGCCUUGGGGCGUCUGGGUGGCUCAGUGGUUGAGUGUCUGCCUUCAGCUCAGGGCGUGAUCCCAGGAUCCUGGGAUGGAGUCCCACAUCAGGCUCCCCAUGGAGAGCCUGCUUCUCCCUCUGCCUAUGUCUCUGCCUCUCUCUUUGUGUCUCUCAGGAAUAAAUAAAAUCUUUUAAAAAAAUUUUAUAAAUAAUAAUUUUUUUUUUUUUUUUUUUUUUUUUUUUUUUUUUUAAAUUUUUAUUUAUAUAUAAAAAAAAAAAAAAAAAAAUAAAAUUAAUAUUUAAUUAAAAAAAAUAAAUAUGGAGACUGCUUUAAAGCUGUCAGUGAGGAUUUUAUUUAUUUAUUUAGGGGGAUGCCUGAGUGGCUCAGCAGUUGAGCGUCUGCCUUCGGCUCAGGACCUGAUCCAAGGGCCCUGGGAUCGAGUCCCUCAUUGGGCUCCCUGCAUGGGUCUACUUCUCCCUCUGCCUAAGUCUCUGCCUCUCUGUGUAUCUCUCAUGAAAAAAUAAAUAAAAUAUUAAAAAAGAAGUCUUGGGGCUGGGGGAGGUCACCUAGGGAGAGGGUAUGACCCCCAAUCACAGAUGAGGAAGCCUGGCACUUUUUGAGCUGUAAGAAUCACAUUUAUACCACAUGGUCAACCACCCAGAACAUCCCCUUUGGUGGUGGGCCGUUACAAUCUGACAGCAGCAGCAUGGAAUCUGGAAUGAUAAGACUCAGGUUUUAUACCAUAACUCUGUCCCUACUAGCUGUAUGGCUCAGCAAGAUGUAACCUCUCCCAGUUUCCUCUUCUGUAAAAUUACCUCGAGCCACUGGACCUCUUUAAUUUAUCAACAAUGAAACACAUUCCCCCAGGGCCCUUGAGCACUGGUUUUGCCCUGACUUGGACCCCACCCUUUAAUGGGAAAGGCCUGGAGGCCAGAGGAAUGAGAGCUAUAAAGCUACAAAGAAAGCUAUUCCUGAGUCCCAAGGAAGCAGGAGGGGCCACUUCUAACUCAGAGAAGGUGUGUGUUGGGAAGAUUCUGAACCACCUGAUGAGGUAAGCAUUUUUAUUCGUUUAUUUAUUUAAUUAAUUUAUUUAUUUUAAGUAAGCUCCAUACCCAACGUGGGACUCAAACUCAUGGCCCCAACAGUAAGAGUCACGUGCCUCUUGCAACUGAGUCAGCCAGGCGCCCCUGAAGAAGGCAUUUUAAGCACCUUUUUAUUUUUAUUUAUUUUUUAAUUUAUUUUUUAAUAAGUCAGUUUCCUUUUUUUUUUUUUUUUAGUGAUACAAAAAAUAUUUAUAUAUUCCACAAAAAACUUCAAUAAAAUUGGUGAUUUAGUCCUGCAGAAACAUAAGCAUGCAACACCCCCCAGGACUCACCCGUCGGUGUGUUUGAAUGUUAAAGUCCACAAAAUGUCUACAAUUCAAUCUGGAUCUAUAAACACAAACUAAUUUGAUAAGGGUGAAAUCCUUUUAUUUUUUAUUAUUUUUAUUAUUUUUUUAUUUUUAUAAAUUUAUUUUUUAUUGGUGUUCAAUUUGCCAACAUAUAGAAUAACACCCAGUGCUCAUCCCGUCAAGUGCCCACCUCAGUGCCCGUCACCCAGUCACCCCCAUCUUUUUUUUUUUUUAAAGAUUUUAUCUAUUUAUUUAUGAGUGACACACACACAGAGAGAGGCAGAGACAUAGGCAGAGGGAGAAGCAGGCUCCAUGCAGGGAGCCUGAUGUGGGACUCGAUUCCAGGACUCCAAGGUCAUACCCUGGGCCAAAGGCAGGCGCUCAACCGCUGAGCCACCCAGGCGUCCCAUUAAGCACCUUUUUUAUAAAAAAAGAAACAUUCAGAGAAGGCAGGGAACUCAGUCAAAGUUACACAGCCUGAAAGUGGCAGAGCACACAGUGGCAUGCUCAGUUAUCAGCUUUGAUGUUCUUGGCCACAGCCAGG